GACGAACGCUGGCGGCGUGCUUAACACAUGCAAGUCGAACGGAAAGGCCCUGCUUUUGUGGGGUGCUCGAGUGGCGAACGGGUGAGUAACACGUGAGUAACCUGCCCUUGACUUUGGGAUAACUUCAGGAAACUGGGGCGAAUACCGGAUAUGAGCUCCUGCUGCAUGGUGGGGGUUGGAAAGUUUCGGCGGUUGGGGAUGGACUCGCGGCUUAUCAGUUUGUUGGUGGGGUAGUGGCUUACCAAGGCAUUGACGGGUAGCCGGCCUGAGAGGGUGACCGGCCACAUUGGGACUGGGAUACGGCCCAGACUGCUACGGGAGGCAGCAGUGGGGAAUAUUGCACGAUGGGCGGAAGCCGGAUGCAGCAACGCCGCGUGCGGGAUGACGGCCUUCGGGUUGUAAACCGCUUUCGCCUGUGACGAAGCGUGAGUGACGGUAAUGGGUAAAGAAGCACCGGCUAACUACGUG
rnacentral:rRNA from 1 species